rnacentral:rRNA from 1 species
UGGGGAAUAUUGGACAAUGGGCGCAAGCCUGAUCCAGCCAUGCCGCGUGAGUGACGAAGGCCUUAGGGUUGUAAAGCUCUUUUGGCGGGGAAGAUAAUGACGGUACCCGCAGAAUAAGCUCCGGCUAACUUCGUGCCAGCAGCCGCGGUAAUACGAAGGGAGCUAGCGUUGUUCGGAAUCACUGGGCGUAAAGCGCACGUAGGUGGGCAGUUAAGUCAGGGGUGAAAGCCCGAGGCUCAACCUCGGAAUUGCCUCUGAUACUGGCUGUCUAGAGUUCGAGAGAGGUGAGUGGAAUUCCUAGUGUAGAGGUGAAAUUCGUAGAUAUUAGGAAGAACACCGGUGGCGAAGGCGGCCCACUGGAUCGGUACUGACGCUGAGGUGCGAAAGCGUGGGGAGCAAACAGGAUUAGAUACCCUCGUAGUCCCUGAGCGGGCUGGCAAGGCGCAU